rnacentral:rRNA from 1 species
CGGGUGGAGUUGAACUGCAAAGCUCCGAGAAUUUAACUGGUGAGUGUGGUAUACACUUGGAUAUAUUGGUUGGCCCUCAAAGUCUGCAGAAAACUGUGGAGGCUGUGCUAACGCGCGGCGUGCGUUGAAGCGCUUAUCAAGCGCUGUGCUCUUUGGGGGUACUUCGAACCUGCUUGCCAGUGCAUUUUCUCAGAGUGAUCACCACGACCGGCGCUGCUGUCUGUCUGCUGUGGUUAAACCGGGUGUGUAUCGUCCUUGUGGCUUUGCAUACUCGGGAUGGCAGGUAACCCGAUUGUGCUUGUCACGAUUGGGUGUAAUCAGCUGACCAUAGUAGUACUGUGCAGUGCGUCGGAGACGGCGGCUUGUGGUGCGUACAUGCGUGCAUGUUGAGUGGCGGCUUUGGGUCUGGUUAUACUGUAGCCUGUAAAAACAGGCCAUGUAAUGGCCCAGGGUUGUUCACUUGAUGGUUGCGUAUGGGGCACUUUAAUGGGCCUACAGUCUGUGGUGUAGUGGUAGACGAUCCACCCGACCCGUCUUGAAACACGGA